rnacentral:other from 16 species
GUUCACCGCCGCACAGGCGGCUUAGAAA